UUACGGCCAAAUCACGUUGAAACACCGGUUCCAGUAUAAUCACAGAAGUUAAGCAACCUCGAGCUUGGUCAGUACCUAGAUGGGUAACCGCUUCGGAAUACCAGGUGCUGUAAG